AGCGAACGCUGGCGGCAGGCUUAACACAUGCAAGUCGAGCGGGCACCUUCGGGUGUCAGCGGCAGACGGGUGAGUAACACGUGGGAACGUACCCUUCGGUUCGGAAUAACGCUGGGAAACUAGCGCUAAUACCGGAUACGCCCUUAUGGGGAAAGGUUUACUGCCGAAGGAUCGGCCCGCGUCUGAUUAGCUAGUUGGUGGGGUAACGGCCUACCAAGGCGACGAUCAGUAGCUGGUCUGAGAGGAUGAUCAGCCACACUGGGACUGAGACACGGCCCAGACUCCUACGGGAGGCAGCAGUGGGGAAUAUUGGACAAUGGGCGCAAGCCUGAUCCAGCCAUGCCGCGUGAGUGAUGAAGGCCUUAGGGUUGUAAAGCUCUUUUGUCCGGGACGAUAAUGACGGUACCGGAAGAAUAAGCCCCGGCUAACUUCGU
rnacentral:rRNA from 1 species